rnacentral:lncRNA from 1 species
CCACUGACUUACCAGGUAGGAGCUUUCUAGUGUUCCUUGCAUUAGCAUACAGUAGCCCUGAUAGCAUGUGUGGAUUUGCAUCCCAGUUCUGUCCCUUAUUAGCCAUGUGACUUCUACAACCUAAGCUCAUUUCUAUAUUUCAGUUGAGGAAAAUACCUUUAUUUCUUACCUAUGAUUAUUAAGAGGACUCCAUAAAUGCAAUAGCCCUCACCCACAAUAGCCCUUAGGACAAUUCAUGACACAUGAAGAGCACUCAGUAACUGUAGCUGUGACAGGCGGGCCAAUCCAUGUAGAAAGGCCUGUUUUUCCCAAGCUCUUGGCCUCUGACUUGAGGGGCCAAAGCUCAACCUCAUAUUUGUGGAUCAAGCCCUUCAUCCUCUGCCAGGCUCCCACUCAUGCGGGACAUCCCCUGCUUCCUGAUGGAACCCAAGGCUCGGGGCUGGCAUUCUCGGGAAGGGAGGCAAAGAAAGAUUCCGUCCACCCAGGUACCUGGCGGAAAGAAAUUGGACUUUUGAGUUAGACUAUGCCAGAAUCCCAGCUCUGCUUCUUACUGACUGCGAGAACUUGAGCAAGUUUUUUGGCCUCAUAAGCCACAUCUUCCUCAACCGUAAGAGGGGAGCUCUAGUUGAGUUGCUGCAGUAUUACAGAGACCAGGUAGGUAUAACAUUGAGCGCAGAGUGUUCAGUAAUUGAAGCUGCUGGAGUCCAGCCCUAAAUCAGGCCCUCAGUGAUCGUAAGAUUUGAGUAAUAAGGAGUUUCUGCAACAGAGAAAAAGCCCAUGCACUUUACCUAAUGGGUUGCGUCCAAAGGAGAGUGAAAAAGAGGAACAUCAGAAAGCAGCCUUACCUUCAAGUGGUUUCUUGUCCAGUUAGAGGAGCCAAAGGGAAAACACAUGCAUGGAAUAACAAGACUGUAUUCAACAGUAAAAUAAAAUGCCAGAUGGCAGAUGUAGACCACGCACGUGAGAAGAGCUUAGAAGAGAGAGUGGGUCUCGCAAGUGAGGGUAAUGCCCUCUAAAACACAGGCCCUGCAAUGGGAGAUGCUGUCACUUCGGUCCUUGCUCCAUCUCCAGCAACUAGACCAGUGUCUGGCUCUUAGUGGGUGGUAUUAAAUGCCCACGGAGUUGACCGAUGGAUGGACUGAGUAACUCGUGGAAAAGCU